ACAGCUCAAGGUAAAGAUGUGGAUUGUAUGGUGUCUGGCUGCUGGCAUUUUGGAAAUAGGAAGCUCAAAUGUCGCAAUCAAACAACCAUGGAGCCUGGUGCUACCUGAAGGCGACUCAGUCACCCUGACAUGCAGUCAAAGCUAUGGGCAUAACAGCAUGUACUGGUACCGGCAGGACGGAGGGAAGGGACUGCAGCUCCUCUAUAGCUUCUAUAGCAAACAACCGCAAGCACAGGGCACCGUUCCAGACCGGUUCACAGCUGAUCAACCCCAGAAUGAGCGCUGCAACCUGAACAUUGCCUCCGCACAGCCAGGAGAUUCAGCUGUGUAUUUCUGUGCAAGCAGCUUAGACACAGCACUUCAAAGUAACCCUUUCUUCCUACAAAAACAUUUUACUGAUGCGUCUGGUGCUUGUGGAAGAACUGUUACAUGUGCCCUAUCUCAUAUUUCACCCAUAAACUUACCAAUGUGUGAAACUGGUGCAGUACUGGAAGAAGAAUAGAUGACAAGGGAGGAAAAGUUCACAAUUCCUUCUUUUUUUUGUUGUUGAU